GACACUUCCAGGUGACAGGGAGAUGGCGCUGUGACUGGGGAGACCACGACCACUGAGGAGUUCAGAGCCUGAGCAGAGCUAACACAGCAUUGGUGUGGCCGCGGAUCAAGCCCGGACUCAGCUGCUGCGCCACAGCGAACUCUGCAGUGCGUUCUCCAGGAAAGGCAGAGCUGGGGCACGACGAGGAACUGAUCUGCUCAGCACAGAAGUCAUCCUAGCUGGGCGCUGGUUUGUAGGAUUUGUUGUUUGCUCUUUGGAGAGGAAUGCGAGCUUGUAAAAUUCUGAAGAGAUCUGGGGAGAAACGGUUUGAGCAGCGUCACAGGAGUUUUCCUUCUAGACUGGUCGGCGGGAUGACAAACUCCUCGUCUGGGCGUGACGCUGGGUUCCAGAAGCUUCCAGUAUAAAACGUAGACGGCGGGGGUUGCCCAGGCUGGGCCUCCCCGGCUCCCCAGGAGCUGGACCCUGAAGAAUGUGGGGAGGACACUUCUGGCGACCUGAUCAGAACUCAGUUCAGCGCUGCAGAGGCUGCCCCAAGUUCUCCAAGAGACCAGCCCUGCUCAGCCACACCGAGACUGAGCCACCACGCAGCACCUGUGCGACCAGACGGCACUGAACACCACGCAGCACUGUGCGACCAGACAGCACUGAACACUGCGAGAGGGCGAGGGCGCCCCAGCUCAGCACCACAGGAGAGACGGGAAGAGGGGUCAUAUUGCAACAGCUACACUGCCACCCCACAGACCCCACAGUGCCCGGUCCACACCAGGACCCCACACUGCCCCGUCCACACCCAGGACCCCACACUGCCCUGUCCACACCAGGACCCCACACUGCCCUGUCUACACCAGGACCCCACACUGCCCUGUCACAUGACCCUGGGUCCCAGGAACAGAAACAUCCAGAAUCUGGGGUUGGGACAGAAACCCUGGCUCCGUCCGCAGGGGAGCGAAGCGCCUGGGAGUCCUGGAAGCAGAAACUCGCAGGGGCGGCUCCUGCAGCUCCACACCCAGGCGGGCGCCCGCUGGGGUCCAGCUGCUCCACUGCCCACCCAGCACCACACCCCAGGCAGGUGCCCGCUGGGGCCCGGCAGCUCCACUGCCCACCCGGCUCUGCACCCAGGUGGGCGCCUGCUGGGGUCCGGCCGCUGCACUGCCCACCCAGCACCACACCCAGGCGGGUGCCAGCUGGGGCCCGGCCGCUGCACUGCCCACCCAGCUCCGCACCCAGAUGGGCGCCUGCUGGGGCCCGGCAGCUCCACUGCCCACCCGCUCUGCUGUGGCCUGGGGAAGCCGUGCAAGACGGCUCAGGUGCUUGGGCCCCUGCACCACGUGGGAGACCUUGGAGAAGCUCCCGGCUCCCGGCUCUGGCCUGGCCCAUCCCCGGCCAUCGCAGCAUCUGAGGAGGGAGGCAGAGGACAGAUCUCCCUCUCUCCCCUCUCUCUGUGACUACGCCUUUCAAAUAAAUAAAUAAAUCUUAAAAAACACAGAAAAUCUUGGGAACAGAAACACUUGGAUACUUUCAGGGAUAACAAACAUUUGGUACCCUUAGUAUUUUUUUUUUAAAGAUUUAUUUAUUUUACUUGAAAGACUUACACAGAGCAAGAG